rnacentral:snRNA from 1 species
GGAUGUGACAAGGAUCUGGCUGCAACAUCUGUCAACCCAUUAAUCGCCAGGGUUUAUUCAGCUGAUCUGGCUGGCUAGGUGGGUGUCCCCUUCCUCACUCACCGAUCCAUGUGUGUCCCUCCAGAUGCUGUGCGCUAAGUUGAAGAGGACGGCCUUCCCAGAAUAGAAACCAACUGCUCUUCAAUGGAGGGUACACGAGUAGCUGCGCUUCCCUGCUAUAACCUCCAAACAAGCUCUCAAGAAGGAAAGCUGUCUUUUUAACAUGGAUUUUUAAAAAAAUAUUUAUUUAUUCCCUUU